rnacentral:tRNA from 1 species
UCCCUGGUGGUCCAGCAGCUAAGAUUCCUCACUGGCAAUGUGGGGGCAUCCAGGUUCAAUUCCUGGUCAAGGAA